rnacentral:lncRNA from 1 species
UGGCGGAGAACGCCGCCGCAGUGUUUGACCUCUAGCGGUGAAGGGGGAAGGGGAAGAGGAAAGGAGAGAAGUGAUGUCAGGGACAGGCUUGAAGAUUCCUGAUGUCUCAGCACCCAGCACGGCUGUCAGCCUCGGCAGGAGGAAGACCACGGAAAGUCAAGGAGAGGGUGUGGACUGGAGGAAAUCUAAGUCCGUGGAGACGUAGCCCUCUGGCUCUAACCUGUGAGGACGGGGUUCCCCCGCCUCGUGGGCUCUGCUCUCCAGAGCCUGGGACCCUGGCAGGUGCUUCGGAUGAAGGAGCCGGGAGGAGCCGACUGGCUUUCCUUCCCGCCGGGAUCCGCGAAAACGUGUGGUCGGGACUCCGAGCGCGGAACCCACAAGGGGAAGAAGAGGCCCCGUGGGGAACGCGCACCGUGUCAGGGCCGGCACCAGCUCCGUUCUGGAAAAGAAAUUGCGACGAAAAGAGACGGCAGCCGUGACGUCUGCUCUGUAUUUCCUUCCUCUUCGGAGAGGAAGAUGGAAUUUAGUAGUUUAUUGAGGGGCGGGAGAUCAGGCUAGCGCAGAGUGUAGCCAUCGUUUUCGGCUCUGACACACUCGAGGGCUGUCAUUCACAUGUGUAAUAGAUACGAAUUCGGAAAGAUCCAGUGGAAAGAAUACUGCAACAACUUCUCGCAACUACUUCGAUAAUUCGCAAUUGCUCU